GGGUUGUGAGGUUAAGCGACCAAGCGUACACGGUGGAUGCCCUGGCAGUCAGAGGCGAUGAAGGACGUGCUAAUCUGCGAUAAGCGCCGGUAAGGUGAUAUGAACCGUUAUAACCGGCGAUUUCCGAAUGGGGAAACCCAGUGUGAUUCGUCGACACUAUCAUUAACUGAAUCCAUAGGUUAAUGAGGCGAACCGGGGGAACUGAAACAUCUAAGUACCCCGAGGAAAAGAAAUCAACCGAGAUUCCCCCAGUAGCGGCGAGCGAACGGGGAGGAGCCCAGAGCCUGAAUCAGCAUGUGUGUUAGUGGAAGCGUCUGGAAAGGCGCGCGAUACAGGGUGACAGCCCCGUACACAAAAGCGCAUAUGCUGUGAGCUCGAUGAGUAGGGCGGGACACGUGGUAUCCUGUCUGAAUAUGGGGGGACCAUCCUCCAAGGCUAAAUACUCCUGACUGACCGAUAGUGAACCAGUACCGUGAGGGAAAGGCGAAAAGAACCCCGGCGAGGGGAGUGAAACAGAACCUGAAACCGUGUACGUACAAGCAGUGGGAGCACAGGUUUACCUGUGUGACUGCGUACCUUUUGUAUAAUGGGUCAGCGACUUAUAUUCUGUAGCAAGGUUAACCGCAUAGGGGAGCCGAAGGGAAACCGAGUCUUAAUUGGGCGUUAAGUUGCAGGGUAUAGACCCGAAACCCGGUGAUCUAGCCAUGGGCAGGUUGAAGGUUGGGUAACACUAACUGGAGGACCGAACCGACUAAUGUUGAAAAAUUAGCGGAUGACCUGUGGCUGGGGGUGAAAGGCCAAUCAAACCGGGAGAUAGCUGGUUCUCCCCGAAAGCUAUUUAGGUAGCGCCUCGUGAACUCAUCUCCGGGGGUAGAGCACUGUUUCGGCUAGGGGGCCAUCCCGGCUUACCAACCCGAUGCAAACUGCGAAUACCGGAGAAUGUUAUCACGGGAGACACACGGCGGGUGCUAACGUCCGUCGUGAAGAGGGAAACAACCCAGACCGCCAGCUAAGGUCCCAAAGUCAUGGUUAAGUGGGAAACGAUGUGGGAAGGCCCAGACAGCCAGGAUGUUGGCUUAGAAGCAGCCAUCAUUUAAAGAAAGCGUAAUAGCUCACUGGUCGAGUCGGCCUGCGCGGAAGAUGUAACGGGGCUAAACCAUGCACCGAAGCUGCGGCAGCGACGCUUAUGCGUUGUUGGGUAGGGGAGCGUUCUGUAAGCCUGCGAAGGUGGCCUGUGAGGGUUGCUGGAGGUAUCAGAAGUGCGAAUGCUGACAUAAGUAACGAUAAAGCGGGUGAAAAGCCCGCUCGCCGGAAGACCAAGGGUUCCUGUCCAACGUUAAUCGGGGCAGGGUGAGUCGACCCCUAAGGCGAGGCCGAAAGGCGUAGUCGAUGGGAAACGGGUUAAUAUUCCCGUACUUGGUGUUACUGCGAAGGGGGGACGGAGAAGGCUAUGUUGGCCGGGCGACGGUUGUCCCGGUUUAAGCGUGUAGGCUGACUUUCCAGGCAAAUCCGGAGAGUCAAGGCUGAGGCGUGACGACGAGGCACCACGGUGCUGAAGCAACAAAUGCCCUGCUUCCAGGAAAAGCCUCUAAGCAUCAGGUAACAUCAAAUCGUACCCCAAACCGACACAGGUGGUCAGGUAGAGAAUACCAAGGCGCUUGAGAGAACUCGGGUGAAGGAACUAGGCAAAAUGGUGCCGUAACUUCGGGAGAAGGCACGCUGACACGUAGGUGAAGUGAUUUACUCAUGGAGCUGAAGUCAGUCGAAGAUACCAGCUGGCUGCAACUGUUUAUUAAAAACACAGCACUGUGCAAACACGAAAGUGGACGUAUACGGUGUGACGCCUGCCCGGUGCCGGAAGGUUAAUUGAUGGGGUCAGCGCAAGCGAAGCUCCUGAUCGAAGCCCCGGUAAACGGCGGCCGUAACUAUAACGGUCCUAAGGUAGCGAAAUUCCUUGUCGGGUAAGUUCCGACCUGCACGAAUGGCGUAAUGAUGGCCAGGCUGUCUCCACCCGAGACUCAGUGAAAUUGAACUCGCUGUGAAGAUGCAGUGUACCCGCGGCAAGACGGAAAGACCCCGUGAACCUUUACUAUAGCUUGACACUGAACAUUGAGCCUUGAUGUGUAGGAUAGGUGGGAGGCUUUGAAGCGUGGACGCCAGUCUGCGUGGAGCCGGCCUUGAAAUACCACCCUUUAAUGUUUGAUGUUCUAACGUGGACCCGUGAUCCGGGUUGCGGACAGUGUCUGGUGGGUAGUUUGACUGGGGCGGUCUCCUCCUAAAGAGUAACGGAGGAGCACGAAGGUUGGCUAAUCCUGGUCGGACAUCAGGAGGUUAGUGCAAUGGCAUAAGCCAGCUUGACUGCGAGCGUGACGGCGCGAGCAGGUGCGAAAGCAGGUCAUAGUGAUCCGGUGGUUCUGAAUGGAAGGGCCAUCGCUCAACGGAUAAAAGGUACUCCGGGGAUAACAGGCUGAUACCGCCCAAGAGUUCAUAUCGACGGCGGUGUUUGGCACCUCGAUGUCGGCUCAUCACAUCCUGGGGCUGAAGUAGGUCCCAAGGGUAUGGCUGUUCGCCAUUUAAAGUGGUACGCGAGCUGGGUUUAGAACGUCGUGAGACAGUUCGGUCCCUAUCUGCCGUGGGCGCUGGAGAACUGAGGGGGGCUGCUCCUAGUACGAGAGGACCGGAGUGGACGCAUCACUGGUGUUCGGGUUGUCAUGCCAAUGGCACUGCCCGGUAGCUAAAUGCGGAAGAGAUAAGUGCUGAAAGCAUCUAAGCACGAAACUUGCCCCGAGAUGAGUUCUCCCUGAGACUUAGAGUCUCCUGAAGGAACGUUGAAGACGACGACGUUGAUAGGCCGGGUGUGUAAGCGCAGCGAUGCGUUGAGCUAACCGGUACUAAUGAACCGUGAGGCUUAACCUUACAACGCCGAAGCUGUU
rnacentral:rRNA from 1 species